CCUACGGGGGGCAGCAGUGAGGAAUAUUGGUCAAUGGACGAGAGUCUGAACCAGCCAAGUAGCGUGAAGGAGGACUGCCCUAUGGAUUGUAAACUUCUUUUAUAAAGGAAUAAAACGAGGCACGUGUGCCCGUUUGCGUGUACCUUAUGAAUAAGGAUCGGCUAACUCCGUGCCAGCAGCCGCGGUAAUACGGAGGAUCCGAGCGUUAUCCGGAUUUAUUGGGUUUAAAGGGAGCGUAGAUGGGUUGUUAAGUCAGUUGUGAAAGUUUGCGGCUCAACCGUAAAAUUGCAGUUGAUACUGGCAGUCUUGAGUAGAGUAGAGGUAGGCGGAAUUCGUGGUGUAGCGGUGAAAUGCUUAGAUAUCACGAAGAACCCCGAUUGCGAAGGCAGCUUGCUGGACUGUAACUGACGUUGAUGCACGAAAGUGUGGGUAUCAAACAGGAUUAGAUACCCGUGUAGUC
rnacentral:rRNA from 1 species